rnacentral:rRNA from 1 species
GAGAUCGGGAUAACACCUGGAAACAGAUGCUAAUACCGGAUAACAACAGAUGAUGCCUAUCAACUGUUUAAAAGAUGGUUCUGCUAUCACUCUUGGAUGGACCUGCGGUGCAUUAGCUAGUUGGUAGGGUAACGGCCUACCAAGGCGAUGAUGCAUAGCCGAGUUGAGAGACUGAUCGGCCACAUUGGGACUGAGACACGGCCCAAACUCCUACGGGAGGCAGCAGNG